ACAGGAGAGAGCUUGCUCUCUUGCUGACGAGUGGCGGACGGGUGAGUAAUGCUUGGGAAUCUGCCUAUAGAUGGGGGAUAACCAUUGGAAACGAUGGCUAAUACCGCGUAAUAUCGAGAGAUUAUAGAGUGCAUUUUUGUACUUGUCUAUAGAUGAGCCCAAGUGAGAUUAGCUAGUUGGUGAGGUAAUGGCUCACCAAGGCGACGAUCUCUAGCUGGUUUGAGAGAAUGACCAGCCACACUGGAACUGAGACACGGUCCAGACUUCUACGGAAGGCAGCAGUGGGGAAUAUUGGACAAUGGGGGCAACCCUGAUCCAGCCAUGCCGCGUGUAUGAAGAAGGCCUUAGGGUUGUAAAGUACUUUCGGUAAUGAGGAAGGUAAUUAUUGAAGGAUAGUUGCUUGACGUUAGUUACAGAAGAAGCACCGGCUAACUCCGUGCCAGCAGCCGCGGUAAUACGGAGGGUGCGAGCGUUAAUCGGAAUUACUGGGCGUAAAGGGCACGCAGGCGGAUUGGCAAGUUAGAUGUGAAAGCCCCGAGCUUAACUUGGGAAUUGCAUUUAAAACUACUAAUCUAGAGUUGUUUAGGGAGGGGGUAGAAUUUCUCGUGUAACAGUGAAAUGUGUAGAGAUGAGAAG
rnacentral:rRNA from 1 species